GUAGACUCUGGAGAACAUUUUGAUGGUCUGCAGAUGUGAGGAGACUGGUGAUAGCGGAGCGAGAGAACCCCAGGAUGACUCCGUGAAGAGGACAGACGAUGCACGGAUUCUCUGAAUGAAGGAAAAGAGGAAGGAGAAACACCCUGUAGGGAGAGGAACACGAGGUUUGGACCCCACCCUAUCCCUACCACUCCGUCCUCAGACCCUACGUUACGGGAAAUAGAGAGCGGCUUUGCCGGGGGACUGUGGGCAGCGUCCAGCAUUGUCUGGCCUUCACUGAAUAGGCACUCCAAGUGAGAAGUUCGAGAAAGCCCCAGGAGGCUCAGGGUCCAGAUCUGUGGUCUUGUCCCAGAAGCUGGGAAAGCUUAAAGCUCAGACCAGGGCUGGCUCGCUCUCUGGAGGGAUGUUUCACCAUUCAGUGACUGCAGAGAUCACCAAGGGGAAUUUUUCAUGAAGAAAUCCAGUCUGAUAUUGGCUUUGAGAGCAGAGACGUGUAGCUUGGAUGCAGAUGAUUUGAGAAGCACAGGUAUAGAGAACUUCCAAGGGCCGUCUCUCGGAAAUUGACCCCUGUGUGGAGGAAAUAUAAAGAGUAUUUGCCAGCUCUCUCAAGGUUCCUGGGGAUGAAGCACUGGCUUGAAAGCCCUCACUGGGGCUGCGGUGGGGGAAGGUUUUUUGUCCUGCCUGGAUUUGGCUUCUGAAACUGCUCUGUCAUCGUGCUACAAUCCAAAGCUCAGAGGAGGACACGGCUGAGAGUUACUGCAGGGAAGCAAAGCUGCAGCCCUGGCACCAGGGAGCCAUGAGCCAGCUCUUCCGACACAUCCUCAGUAUAUAGGAUAAUUGCUUUGCUGUCAAAGCCAGUGUGAGUCAGGAUUUUCUGCUCCAGAUAACCCAGGCUUCAGGGCAAGGGCACAGCCCAGCUCCUCCAAGACGCCUUCGUUGAUGUGCCCACCCUUCAAGGCUCUUCUCACCUUAGACUUCUGGUGCCACUGCCUGGGCUGGCAGCUGCACUGGUCGUCACUGAACUCGUACAGCUUUGUGCCAUCAUUCAACUUUUAGUGCGUUAGAUCUCCAUCCACCACCGCCAUCCACCACACUGAGAGCCUUAAGGAGAGUGUGCGGGUUAUUAAUGUCUGUAUUCCCCAUACCAGCACCCAUCCUGCAAGUGAAUAAGCCCGAUUAAGCCCAAAAGUUUUGGUUGCACCUUCUCCUCAGCCAGUGGGCACCUACUGGUGUUACAGUUCUGAGACUUAGAAGGGCACAUCAGUGAUUCCUCAUGUAAUAAAGAAUAUUUGUUCUAAAAUAUUGCCCUCUCUUCCUUUUUAGAAAAGCAGCUAGCAUUUUUUAAACUUCUGCCACAUAUCAGUCACCUCAUUAUAAAUGGGUGAAUCUAGUAAUCAAAGCCACUAUUGCUUAUUUUUUCUUAAAUAUGUGAAUUGGAAAGAAUGAGACCUACCUCAAUGUGGUGAAAAGUGAGCGAGAUAAUGCAAGCAAAACCCUAUCAUAGCUCAUGGCAUAAGUCAGAGAUCAACUAAUAGCAGAGGUUCUAUGGAGCAGAUGAUGCCUGGAUAGUACAUGCGAGGCCAAAUCUAGUCAAAUCAGCUGGAAGGGAGAAUCCACUCAAAGGGAUUGCUGCAGGCAAUGAACUAUUCAGGUCUUUGCUAGGUAAGAAGAGAGAUUAAUUGUGGAUAGUGACUGAGGCUUUAAAAGAAGACAUGAAAGGCUGACAUGUAUCAUUGUCCUGAUUCUUUAUAGCUCCAAGUAGAGGUUUUAUCCUGUGAUGAUCAGGUAUAACAAUAAAACUCCUGUAACCUGGAAAUCUAAUUUUCUCUUCUAUUUGGGCCAGAAUGGAAAUAUGUCGCUGUUUUCCCAUGGUUGAGUGCUGCCUAUGCUCUUCAUUCUCCCAAAUAAAAAUUUCCCUGAGCAAGAGAAGUUGAGAGAAUGGCCUUAGACGGAUGAAACUCGUCACUAAUAACCAUAAGUGGUGCACUCUCUCCCAAUCUUUAAAAUUGCAAGAAAGAGUUCAAUGAGUUUGAGUCUCUAGUGCGAAAUUCAAAACUUAGACAAUUUGCAAAUAUUUUUUUUUGUUACGUGAUAAUUCCGAUCAACCACCAUGGCUCAAAACAAGACUCUUAUGACAGUCUUUCGGAAAACCAUAGUGUUAAAUCCAGCCUCAUUUGUUCCAUACACCACUCCUGCUGCAUGAGGUUGUAACGAUGCUUUUAUUGUGUGCUGCCAUCUGCUUCAAGACUGUAUCUCCUUUCCAUUCAAAUGUUAGUUGAGUCUCACACCAG
ensembl:lncRNA